AUGUCGAGCUCCGCUUCAGCCUCCCGCCGCUCAUGGCCGCGCUAUGGCGCAGUGCCCAUGACAAGGUGCCCUGCAUGCCCACGUAUCGCACCCCUGAAGCGGCUAGUCACAACGACCGACAAGAAUGGCAACCUUGGGCGGGAAUUCGUGAAAUGCGAGAGCAAACCAGAGCAGGAAGAGAAAUUGAAGCAAUGCACCCAUUUUGAGUGGCUAGAUGAGUACAUAGAGCGGAUUCAACUGGAGGGUGCAUCAGGGGAGCUCGAUUUACCGUUGGAGGCGGAGAAGUUGGGCAAGUUUGGAUCAGGUGCGUCUGGAUCUGGGGCCCCUGAAUCUGGCAAUUCCAUUGAGGGCGCCCAUUCCAUUGGUGCUACCGUGGGGGAUGCAGGAGUGACGGCAGAGCUGAAGAAGCUGAACAAGCAGAUGAAGAAACUCAUCGAAUUGCAGAAGCAGGGCAAUUUGAUGGGACUGAUGGCCGGACUUUUUUAUGUUUGUGUAAUUGCUCUCGCAUUUGUUUAUGUG
rnacentral:rRNA from 1 species